CCUACGGGAGGCAGCAGUGAGGAAUAUUGGUCAAUGGCCGUAAGCCUGAACCAGCCAAGUAGCGUGAGGGAAGACUGCCCUAUGGGUUGUAAACCUCUUUUAUACGGGAAUAAAGGUGUCCACGUGUGGACGUUUGCAUGUACCUCAUGAAUAAGGAUCGGCUAAUUCCGUGCCAGCAGCCGCGGUAAUACGGAGGGUCCGGGCGUUAUCCGGAUUUAUUGGGUUUAAAGGGAGCGUAGGCCGGUCUUUAAGUGUGCCGUGAAAUUUUGUGGCUCAACCCUGAGAGUGCGGGGGAAACUGGAGGCCUUGAGUGCGCGAGAGGUAGGCGGAAGUCGUGGUGUAGCGGUGAAAUGCUUAGAUAUCACGAAGAACCCCGAUUGCGAAGGCAGCGUACUGGAGCGUAACUGACGCUGAGGCUCGAAAGCGCGGGUAUCGAACAGGAUUAGAUACCCUAGUAGUC
rnacentral:rRNA from 1 species